rnacentral:rRNA from 1 species
CUCAGGAUGAACGCUAGCGGCAGGCCUAAUACAUGCAAGUCGAGCGGCAAGUCGAGGAGUAAUCUGAGACCUAGAGCGGCGCACGGGUGCGUAACGCGUAUGCAACCUACCCUUUACCGGGGGAUAGCCCGGGGAAACCCGGAUUAAUACCCCAUAGUAUACAGAGACUGCAUGGUUUUUAUAUUAAAGAUUCAUCGGUAAGGGAUGGGCAUGCGUAGGAUUAGUUAGUUGGCGGGGUAACGGCCCACCAAGACUGUGAUCCUUAGGGGUUCUGAGAGGAAGGUCCCCCACACUGGCACUGAGAUACGGGCCAGACUCCUACGGGAGGCAGCAGUAGGGAAUAUUGGGCAAUGGGCGGGAGCCUGACCCAGCCAUGCCGCGUGCAGGAAGAAGGCGUUAUGCGUUGUAAACUGCUUUUAUACGGGAAGAAAAGGCCCAUGCGUGGGACAUUGCCGGUACCGUAUGAAUAAGCACCGGCUAACUCCGUGCCAGCAGCCGCGGUAAUACGGAGGGUGCAAGCGUUGUCCGGAUUUAUUGGGUUUAAAGGGUGCGUAGGCGGCCCGUUAAGUCAGCGGUGAAAGUCUGUGGCUCAACCAUAGAAGCGCCGUUGAUACUGAUGGGCUUGAGUGCCGUAUGGGUACAUGGAAUUGAUGGUGUAGCGGUGAAAUGCAUAGAUACCAUCAGGAACACCGAUAGCGUAGGCAUUGUACUGUGCGGCAA